UGAUCAAUGAUUAAAACGACUGCAGCUGCUGUAAUGUAAUGAGACUGAGGAUAACAGCCAAGUGCUACUCACUGACUCUGUGCAUGAGAACAAGUAAAAGUUACAAUGGCUGAACAGAUUUUGCCAAAAUGCUGUUUCGGUCGUCGUCCAGUAGGUGGCAGUGACGCAUCUACCAUGUGAGUUUUCAAUCAAAACAUGAAGAAGAAGAAGGAACAGCAUUAUGGGAAAGAAACAAAUGUUUAUAGACUGCGUUGAAUUGGAAUAUAUUUAUUUAUAUUAAUAUUCUGAUAGUUGUAGCAAUUGAUAUUUUAAUUUAUUGCGAUAAAGUUAAGUUGAAAUAGCUCUCGACGUGUUUCCGCUAGCCUCUAUUAGCCCUCUAGCUGCAGUUAGUUGCUUCAGAUUGAUUUUACUCGUAUAAAUGUCUGUCAGACGGGCUCUGGUGGACUGUGCUGUGUUGUCUCUGCAAGAUACGUGUAUUUUUUAUCCCUGCUGUAAAGGCUGUUUCUCACGAAUUGAUGUUGAACAGCAGGACACAACGAGAUGCAGAUGCAGAUGCUCCAAGUGUGGUUAUAGUUGUCUGAAGGAACAGCUGGAUUACAGAUAUCGUCUGUCUCUGAAGGUGGCCCGGGACAGGUGCAUAUUUGGUGUGACAGUAUUUGGAAAUAGCCUGAACCCAUUCUUUGGCAUCGAUGCAAGUGGAUUACAGAAGUGAGUAAAGAAAUGACCUUUCAGGCAUCUUUCUGUUAAUGUUUACACUGCUUUAGACAAAGUCCACCAGUCUUAUACUGUGGCAUGCUCCCAGUUUUGUACAAACGUCAGCUUUUUCUACUAGGUUAAAAUGAAGCUCGGCCAUAUGUUGUUUAUGGUGUAGGAACCGUAUAUUAUGGCUCCCAUAUGAAAUCGUUAAAUGGGAGGUCUGUGUGCACAUCACUUAUUACAUGGUGUUAAAUAACAUAACAUAAUAGAGUGUAGUAUAAUUUCCUCUUUUUAUAUGAAUGUUAAUGUUUUUGUUCAGAAAUGUGUAUUUCAUAAUGAUAUUGGAUUGAUAUUUCAAUGACAAUAAAUUUUGUUAUUUUGUAAGU